GCGCCUGUAGCUCAGUGGAUUAGAGCGCUUCCCUGCGGAGGAAGAGGCCACGCGUUCGAGUCGCGUCAGGCGCGCCA
rnacentral:tRNA from 1 species